UGAAACAUCUAAAUCAGGAAUUUCAUCAGAUGCUGAGGUCAAUACCAUCACCACAGAUGUUACUCCUAACUACAAUGAAAUGGCUUUUCAAAAAGAUUUGCACCUGGAGUGUAAAGAAUCAAAAGAUAUAACCUCUUCCAUCCUUAAGAGUUCCACCGCUAUCAUUCAUGAAACUUCCACAUCUUACGUUCCACAGACAUCCCAAAGUUCCAUUUCUUCCACCCCCCAUAGCUCACCCUCUGUCAUCCUUGAUGAUUUCACCUCAAACAAUACUGUGACCCAGAGUUCCAGCUCAAACUCAUAUUCUGCCAAUACCCUUCCAGAACAUUCCUCCAGUCCUCCACAUUAUAUUAUAUCUACUGAGGAGGAAGAUUCUCAAAACAGCGCUGCAAAUGACAGAAACAUGUCUGCCAGCAAUGGUGAUGUAGUUUACUCUGACCCUUCCAGUGCCGAUAAUGUUUCAUCCAUGCCAGAUGUGAUUGUGUAUAGCACUGUGUCCUGCUCCAGAAUCACAGAGAACAGUUUGAAUGCGGAUACUGAUAUAAAGCCAAUUUUAUCUCUCUCCAAUACUGAUGUUUCUGAAAGUGAUUUAAGCUCACUACCUCUGAGUUUACCCACAAUCACUGUACAUUCCACUCCUGAUUCAAGUUUACUGAAAGAAUCUCACCCUCAGAUUAAUUGUGAGACUGCUUCAAUGGAAUCUUAUGAAGCCAACAAUUAUUCUUCCUCGACAUAUGCCACUGACUCAGAGAAACCUAGUCCUGCUGAACCUGUCCUUCUUGAGAAUGAGUCAAAAGUCUCUUUACCUCAUUCAGCUGUUUCGAGCACCUACACCAUCAUUAAGCCAACUGUCACCUUUGACCUUUCAGGUCCCUCAGACCCCAUCAGCCCUGACCAUUCCCAGAGAGGCCUCUCUAACUAUAUGUCUUUUUCAGAUGUGGAAACCCUAACUGAAAUAUCAGAACCAGACCAAAUAAGCCAGGAGAGCGACCAAGCUAAAUCAGCAAACUCUUCAGAAACUUCCUCAGAUUUUCCGGACAGUGACACCUCCAGCACUUUGACCUCUGAAGCCAUACCUGCCUACAUAAUUCAUCCUCCCCCUCACUUAG
ensembl:lncRNA